GCAGAAGUUUCACACAGAACCAGAUAGUCAGGAGAGAAACCUGCACCUUAGAUAUCAAGAUUAAAAAAUCCUCAUACUGAAGAGCAAAGAUGCCUGUGUAUAACGAGCUCCGUCUGGAGCAACAGCUUUGUGACGCGGUGAUCAGAGUGGACAAGGUUGAAUUUCACGUGCACAAGAUCAUCCUCUGCAACUGCAGCUCAUACUUCAAGGACCCAAAGUCCAGAGUCAAUACACCUCCUGAGGUGGUAUUUUCCUUCCUGCAGAGAGAAACACGGUGAGUUCAAGACACAAUGAAUAAAAUGAACAAACAGAUGAAA